GACGAACGCUGGCGGCGUGCCUAACACAUGCAAGUCAACUUGACGGAAGGAGCAAUCUGACCGUAGAGUGGCGCAAGGGUGCGUAACGCGUAAGUAACUUGCCCAAGGUAAGGAAUAACGUCGAGAAAUCGGCGCUAAUACCUCAUAAUGCAGCGGAUCCGCAUGGAUAUGUUGUUAAAAGGUUUACCGCCUUGGGAUAGGCUUGCGUCUGAUUAGCUAGUUGGUGUGGUAACGGCACACCAAGGCUACGAUCAGUAACUGGUCUGAGAGGAUGAUCAGUCACACUGGAACUGAGACACGGUCCAGACUCCUACGGAGGCAGCAGUGAGGAAUAUUGGGCAAUGCUCGAAAGAGUGACCAGCAACGCCGCGUGGAGGAUGAAGGUAUUCUAUAUCGUAAACUACCUGUGUGAGCAGACGAAAGACAGA
rnacentral:rRNA from 1 species